AUGCAGUAGCUGCAAGUCUUCGGAAAGUCAGCAUGGAUAACAGACUGAUGGAACUCUUUCCUGCCAAUAAGCAAAGUGUUGAACACUUCACAAAGUAUUUUACUGAGGCAGGCUUGAAAGAGCUUUCAGAAUAUGUUCGGAAUCAGCAAACCAUUGGAGCUCGUAAGGAGCUCCAGAAAGAACUUCAAGAACAGAUGUCCCGUGGUGAUCCAUUUAAGGAUAUAAUUUUAUAUGUCAAGGAGGAGAUGAAAAAAAACAACAUCCCAGAACCAGUUGUCAUCGGAAUAGUCUGGUCAAGUGUAAUGAGCACUGUGGAAUGGAACAAAAAAGAGGAGCUUGUAGCAGAGCAAGCCAUCAAGCACUUGAAGCAAUACAGCCCUCUACUUGCUGCCUUUACUACUCAAGGUCAGUCUGAGCUGACUCUGUUACUGAAGAUUCAGGAGUAUUGCUAUGACAACAUUCAUUUCAUGAAAGCCUUCCAGAAAAUAGUGGUGCUUUUUUAUAAAGGUAAUUUAGAUUUUGAAUUUUGUAAAUAACACUUAAUAAAAACCCUUGUAAACACAAAAUUAUCCAAAUGAUGAG
rnacentral:sRNA from 1 species